CAUGUGCAGGAGCUGGAGAGCUACAUCGACCGGCUGCUGACGUCCUUCUAUGGCCGCUUCAGGCACUUCUUGGAUAUCAUCGACCCUCGCACACUCUUUGUCACUGAGAGACGUCUCAGAGAGGCUGUGCAGCUGCUGGAGGACUAUAAGCAUGGGACCCUGCGCCCGGGGGUCACCAAUGAACAGCUCUGGAGUGCACAGAAAAUCAAGCAGGCUAUUCUACAUCCGGACACCAAUGAGAAGAUCUUCAUGCCAUUUAGAAUGUCAGGUUAUAUUCCUUUUGGGACGCCAAUUGUAAGUGUUACCUUCAAAGGAUUUCCUUUUCUAAAAAAUUAUUUUAAAUGUCUAACUUUAUGUUAUUGCUCACGGGUAUUUGACUGAAUUGUUGAUUUAGGAUAAGUCAAUUCCUGGAGGGAAAUUACCAAAUAAAAUGAUAUGUAUUUCUUA
rnacentral:lncRNA from 1 species